UACGAAGGGGGCUAGCGUUGUUCGGAAUUACUGGGCGUAAAGCGCACGUAGGCGGACAUUUAAGUCAGAGGUGAAAUCCCGGAGCUCAACUUCGGAACUGCCUUUGAUACUGGGUGUCUUGAGUAUGGAAGAGGUUAGUGGAAUUGCGAGUGUAGAGGUGAAAUUCGUAGAUAUUCGCAGGAACACCAGUGGCGAAGGCGGCUAACUGGUCCAUAACUGACGCUGAGGUGCGAAAGCGUGGGGAGCAAAC
rnacentral:rRNA from 1 species